GACGAACGCUGGCGGCGUGCUUAACACAUGCAAGUCGAACGGAAAAGCCCUGCUUUUGUGGGGUGCUCGAGUGGCGAACGGGUGAGUAACACGUGAGUAACCUGCCCUUGACUUUGGGAUAACUUCAGGAAACUGGGGCUAAUACCGGAUAGGAGCUCCUGCUGCAUGGUGGGGGUUGGAAAGUUUCGGCGGUUGGGGAUGGACUCGCGGCUUAUCAGCUUGUUGGUGGGGUAGUGGCUUACCAAGGCUUUGACGGGUAGCCGGCCUGAGAGGGUGACCGGCCACAUUGGGACUGAGAUACGGCCCAGACUCCUACGGGAGGCAGCAGUGGGGAAUAUUGCACAAUGGGCGGAAGCCUGAUGCAGCAACGCCGCGUGCGGGAUGACGGCCUUCGGGUUGUAAACCGCUUUCGCCUGUGACGAAGCGUGAGUGACGGUAAUGGGUAAAGAAGCACCGGCUAACUACGU
rnacentral:rRNA from 1 species